rnacentral:rRNA from 1 species
GGCCCAGCCCUAGCCCGAGACACAUUGACCUGGAAUAACAAAGCCACUUAGACAUAAACAACUAAAGCAUUUACUAAUCCCAGUAUAGGCGAUAGAAAAGAUACCAUCGGCGCGAUAGAGAGCACGUACCGUAAGGGAAAGAUGAAAUAAUAAUGAAAAAAGAUAAGCCAAAAACAGCAAAGAUCAACCCUUGUACCUUUUGCAUCAUGGUCUAGCAAGAAAAACCAAGCAAAACGAAUUGAAGCUUGCCACCCCGAAACCCAAGCGAGCUACUUACGAGCAGCUAACAUGAGCGAACCCGUCUCUGUUGCAAAAGAGUGGGAUGACUUGUCAGUAGAGGUGAAAAGCCAACCGAGCUGGGUGAUAGCUGGUUGCCUGUGAGACGAAUUUAAGUUCACUCUUAAUUCUCCUCCAAGGAACUCCACGAACCCUAAUGAAGCGAAUUAAGGGCUAUUUAAAGGGGGUACAGCUCCUUUAAAAAAGAGUACAAUCUCUACGAGCGGAUAAGUACACUAGUGUAGAACUUACUGUGGGCCUUCAAGCAGCCAUCAACAAAGAGUGCGUCAAAGCUCCUACUAUGAAAAAUAUGUUAAUCCUACGACUCCCUCCCCACUAACAGGCUAACCUAUAUGAAUAGGAGAAUUAAUGCUAGAAUGAGUAACUAGGGAUCUUCCCUCUACGACGCAAGCUUACAUCAAUACAUUAUUAACAAGACACCCAUAUACGACUAAUCCAACAAGCAUAGUAUUAAACAACUUGUUAACCCGACAGAGGAGCGUCCGUAAGAAAGAUUAAAACCUGUGAAAGGAACUAGGCAAACGUCAAGGCCCGACUGUUUACCAAAAACAUAGCCUUCAGCAAACCCCAGACAAGUAUUGAAGGUGAUGCCUGCCCGGUGACCUCGUGUUAAACGGCCGCGGUAUCCUAACCGUGCAAAGGUAGCGCAAUCAAUUGUCCCAUAAAUCGAGACUAGUAUGAAUGGCUAAACGAGGUCUUAACUGUCUCUCACAGGCGAUCAGUGAAAUUGAUCUUCCUGUGCAAAAGCAGGAAUAACCCCAUAAGACGAGAAGACCCUGUGGAACUUUAAAAACAGCAACCACGCCUAAAUACUUACCCCCCCAUACGGGCUCACUUAUUCAUUAGGCCCCUGGUCUGCAUUUUUUCGGUUGGGGCGACCUUGGAGAAAAACAAAUCCUCCAAAAAUUGGACCACACCUCUAGACUAAGAGCGACUCCUCAACGUGCUAAUAGCAUCCAGACCCAAUACAAUUGAUCAAUGGACCAAGCUACCCCAGGGAUAACAGCGCAAUCUCCUCCAAGAGUCCAUAUCGACGGGGAGGUUUACGACCUCGAUGUUGGAUCAGGACAUCCUAGUGGUGCAGCAGCUACUAAGGGUUCGUUUGUUCAACGAUUAACAGUCCUACGUGAUCUGAGUUCAGACCGGAGUAAUCCAGGUCGGUUUCUAUCUAUGAUGAGCUCUUCCCAGUACGAAAGGAUCGGAAAAGUGAGGCCAAUACUGCAAGCAAGCCUUCGCCUUAAGUAAUGAAUGCAACUAAUUACGAAAGGCUAUCACAACCAACCACGUCCCAGAA